rnacentral:lncRNA from 1 species
GUAGCGGUCAGUAAGAACUCAGCUGGGGGGCAGGGGCUGGGCCUCACCUCCCAGGACCCUCGCCCCACAAAGCCGGGCUGCAGAGCCUGCGGGGAAAAGGCUCGGUUGGAAGAGAGGCCUCGAAAGCCUGAGGACCGAUUUUCUGCAGUUGAUGUUUUUCCCGGUUAAGAUCCAAGCGGACGCGUGUAAGCACUUCCAUUCCCAGAGAGCACUGAAAUGGGGUAUCAGCUUGGCCAACAAGAAAGCGAAGCCGCUGCUUUAAACAGAACCGGUUUACUAAGUGACCAGACUUUGCAGCAGAAAGGAAGUCCCAUCUGGCGGGCAGCCGGCCCGCAGACAGCGCGGGCGCCUCCCCGAGAGGGCAGUGGGCCGCGUGGGCCCCGGGGGCUCCGUCCUCCAGCGCCGGCCGCCGGGAGGGGCGGGCUGCUCUCGGGCGCCGCCGUGUGGCCGGCGCGGGCACCUCCGCGUCCACGCCGCAAGAGGCCCUUGGCCNNNNNNNNNNNNNNNNNNNNNNNNNNNUGUAAACGGGUGUCAACAGCCUGAGGUGCCACGGAGCGGAGAAAAGGAUCCGGGACCCCACCUGGGUUUUAUCUCCGGGUGAAAAGAAAGAUCUCGUUUGGGCAACUCCCUGCAAAAGAUACGCCUUUGAAGAAGGAAGACCUGAGCCCAUCACCAGUGGGUCCUGCAAAGCCGGGACUGCGCCGACGUGUGCGUUCAGGUCAGAGCCGUCUCUCGCGUUCCUCACCCUCGGGCGCCGGCAAACACUUAAAUGCAUCACCCACGAAAGGAACAGGGCGGCUCGGUGGGGCUGGUGCCAGCCCAGGAAACGGCUGUCUCUGCCUUAAGAGGGAAGCGGGCAGAGUGCCGAGUCUGGACUCACAGCCUGGGUGCCGCGUGCGCUCAGGCCGUGCUAGGAUCGCACCUGCGUGUGUGGGAGACAACAGGUCUGGGGGCGGGGGCGGGCUGCCGGUCAGGAGCACGCUGUCCGGGGCGCACAGCGGGCCCAGCACCCUCCGCUACAGCGUCGAUUACUGUCAGGAAGUCACAGGUGGGCGGCCUUGGGAAUCCUAGUCAGAGUUGGAUGCUUCCCAAGUCACUGAUUCUCGGGAGGGGAGGGGACUCCCUUGGGGCUCUUUCCUGGUGCGGGGCCUGGGUGCAGCAGCUGAGGAGACGGCCCUGGUCUCACCUCCUGGGAGCCCACCCCUCCGGGUCCCCCUACAGCUCCGCUUACAGGACAGUGAGGAGCGCUUAGCAGAUUUCCGUGAGCCAGAGGGGAGAGCUC